rnacentral:misc_RNA from 1 species
AUAAAAAACUUCUCUUAUGAUUGCCAUGUCCAUGGUUGAUGAGUAACUCACGCUGGCAAUCUUUCCAUCUGGAGCAAUAAAUGAAUGUUCUGGAGAAGUUGAUGGAUUGGUUUCCAGAUAUCCGUCUGGCCCUUCAAUCAACCAGUCUAACAAAAAUGAUGUACAUCCUUCCAACAGAGGGUAUGCCUCAUUUUCUAGAAAAUCCUGGUCCAUUGUGUAAUUAUAGUGCUCCCACAAAUGGGUACAAAGCCAGGCCCCACCCAUUGGCCACAAUGCCGACUUAACCUUUCCUCCAC